rnacentral:rRNA from 1 species
GGGGAAUAUUGCACAAUGGGGGAAACCCUGAUGCAGCAACGCCGCGUGAAGGAAGACGGUUUUCGGAUUGUAAACUUCUGUUCUUAGUGAAGAAAAAUGACGGUAGCUAAGGAGCAAGCCACGGCUAACUACGUGCCAGCAGCCGCGGUAAUACGUAGGUGGCAAGCGUUGUCCGGAAUUACUGGGUGUAAAGGGAGCGCAGGCGGGAAGCCAAGUCAGCUGUGAAAACUACGGGCUUAACCUGUAGACUGCAGUUGAAACUGGUUUUCUUGAGUGAAGUAGAGGCUGGCGGAAUUCCGAGUGUAGCGGUGAAAUGCGUAGAUAUUCGGAGGAACACCGGUGGCGAAGGCGGCCAACUGGGCUUUAACUGACGCUGAGGCUCGAAAGUGUGGGGAGCAAACAGG